AUCAUUUCUUGAAGCUUCACUUCAACUUCACUACUUCUGUAGUCUCAUCUUGGGUAAAAGAGAACCCAGCCAACUAUGAAGUUCUUUGUGUUUGCCUUCAUCUUGGCUGUCAUGGUUUCCAUGAUUGGAGCUGAUUCAUCUGAAGAGGUGAGUCAUUUUCAUUCACUGGAAAACUUGUUUUCAGUUUUGUCCUCCCUACAUUUGUAUUGAAUUAUUAAGCUUUUCUUCAUUUUUCACAGAAAUUUUUUCGUAGAUUGAGAAGAGUCAGUGUAAGUAUUCUCUGAUAAUGCUGUAUAGUCCAAAUAAAUUUUAUUCUCUGAUUACUUAUUCUUCUAGAAGGGUCAAUAUUUAUUUCUCAAAUAUGCAUAGUAGUUGCAAAAGUGUACUUGUUUUCAUCUAUUUAUGAUACACAAGUAACAGUCACAAAUGUAUUGUGUCCUAACAACAUUUCAGUUGAAACUCAUAAUGUCAACCUGAAGAAACCAGUUACUCUCUGAGCCCUCAAGUAUCAUCUCCUGAGUAAUCACACUGACCUAAAAAAUACUUAAAAUUCCAAUUCUAUUAAUUAUAAUACAUGCCUCAUAGAGCAUAAAGGCUGAUAAUUACACAUAAAAUAUGGUAAGUUUGCAUCUUCUGAUUUUUUUUGAGGGCAAUAAACUCAUUAAAUUAAACAGGCCAUGAUAAAUGAGAUAGCAAAUUUCAUUUCUUUAACAUUUUUUCUUAAUGUAUGUAUGUAUCUUGAUGUCCCAGUAUGUUGGCAUAUAAUGUCAACCUGAUAGGGUUGCAAAAGAUCUCCUAGCUAAUAUAGUAAAUAC